rnacentral:rRNA from 1 species
UACGGGGGGGGCAAGCGUUGUUCGGAAUUACUGGGCGUAAAGGGUCUGUAGGUGGCUUGCUAAGUCAGACGUGAAAUCCCUCAGCUUAACUGGGGAACUGCGUCUGAGACUGGCGAGCUUGAGUGCAGGAGAGGAGCGCGGAAUUCCAGGUGUAGCGGUGAAAUGCGUAGAUAUCAGGAGGAACACCGGUGGCGAAGGCGUCCCUCUGGCCGGAUACUGACGCUGAGACGCGAAAGCGUGGGGAGCAAACAGG